rnacentral:lncRNA from 10 species
GAUUAGAGCGGUGAGUCGCGCUGGUCACACUGCACACCUGCGGGUUGGGAGAUUCUGGAGCCAGAAGGAGAGCCGAAUGGCCUUCGCCCGCCCUGCCCCUCGUCCGCUUCAGAAAUCCCCGGAAACGCCCCGGUCCGCGAUCCGGGCCCGAGCAGCCAGGGGGCCCAAGGGAAGCUGAACGCCGGGUGAGCUACCCGGAUGGCUCUUCCGGUUCUUUGUGCGGCCUUCACCCAGUGAGGGAGCCUGUGCCCCCUGCCCAGUCGCUUUCGGGGCGCUGAGGAGCUUCCGCUGCCAUCUUCGGAUGCUGUGUCCCGCACGGAGGGUCCACCAGGGCAGGGAUAGUGGUGAGGGUCGCUCGUGGAUCCCCUCGCGGGGAGCAGGGUCUGGCACACACCAGGGCGCAGGAUUAGGACUUGUUGAAUGAAUCCAUCGUGGCCUUUAUCUUUUAGUCCUCUGAAGAGCGUUGAGAAUGGAAAUCAUAAGAUAUUUUUUCCAUUAGGAAGUUCUUUUUACAAGGCGUUUAUUCAGGUUGACUUCUCGGCACCCCGCGGGGCGGGCAACGGGCAGGGCCUCCAGUGCACCUUCUGCGCAGUGGAGCCGCGGGGGCCCAGCUGGGCGGUGGUCGGGUCGUGAGGCGGGAGGGCGGGAGCGGGGGAAGGGAAAAGCAAAAGCGGGGAAAGAAGCCGGGGAGCGGUGGACCAGACAUUCAGACCUCCUGAAAGGCUCGUGCGGAGGCAGAGGCGGGAUCUUCCGGAGGUUCAAACAAUACAGAAGUGUAUAAAGUAAGAAUUGAAAGUCUCUUCGCUGCUCUAAUCUCACUCCUCAGAGGUGAUCACUGGACCUGAGUGAGCAGAAGGCUUUUCAGAAUUACAGCCUGAACUAUUUCUUGAGCAAUUUGGGAACUCAUUUCUAAAGCAGUCCUCAGAUUCACACAACGUAGUUUGUGACGGAGUAUGCCCAGAGCAGUGUGGAAGAUGAUCAAAGUAUGACAUUUCUUCUACCCCAGAGGCUGGCAUUUCUGCAGGCACAAAUGAGCUUGGUUUUCAAGCACUGCUCUUUGAACACAAGGAAUUCCUUUAAUGAUCACGCCGGACUAUAUAGACUUUGGAAUCAGACUCUUUGAAUUCCAGCUCUGCCAUUUACCAACUUUGACACUUUGGGGUUUUGGAAAUCUGGAUUGUAGCAGGGCAUUGUAAG